UUUACAGAAAAAUAAAGCCUGCAGAAGACAAGCUAACAACCAAGAAAUUUCAGUGAUUUAUCUACUGCAGUUAUAAGAAGCAGGAAACAGUAUUGACCAGUUGUUCCCAAGAGUGCGUGGCUGGAGCCAUAUGAUCUUAUCAACACAUUUGAGAGCCCUACCCCAAACACUGAGAGAGAGUUUGCUGCAGCAAUGACUGUCAUAGAAGAAAGUCGCCCUUUUGCCCAGCAGCUAUCCAAUGUCUACUUUACUAUACUUUCACUUUUUUGUUUUAAACUUUUUGUGAAGAUCAGCCUCGCUAUACUUAGUCAUUUCUACAUUGUGAAAGGAAACCGUAAGGAAGCAGCAAGGAUAGCUGCUGAAUUUUACGGAGUUCCUCAAGGACAAGACCUGGAAUUACUGCAGUUGCUCUCUUUUGGACUUGUGCCAAUUCAUAUACAGUUCAUAGACAUCUUUACUGAUGUCUAAUUCCCCAUACUAAAGAGAGUGCUCCAGCUGAGACUUUAUUAGUGCAACCAGUGGAACUAUGAGUUGUAUAAAAGUGGAACAGUUGUGUCAUGUGCCAUAUAUAUGAUACCCUAUGUAAUAAAUACCUCCUGGAAUG